ensembl:lncRNA
GCAAUACUAUGUCACUCAAAAGGUCAGAAAAUUAAGAAAGUAAUUUUAGAAGCACUAAAUACUUUAGAAAACAACACUUCAUUAAUAUCAUCACUAAAAAGUGAGUGAUUACAGUACCAGCACUGCAGAAGACAAAUUUCUAACCUAAAAUCUCACCUUGUAUGUAUGUGUGUGUAUAUAUAUGCAUAGAGACACACAUGCGCACACCCCUAUCUGGGAAGGGUUCCCAAGGAGCACUGAUGAGCACUUGGAAUGGCUCCUUCCUACCCUUCCUCUGAAGAAGCCAACUCUUGAAGCAGACCAGCCAGAAUGACAGUGCUGAAUGACAAAUCUGCAAGGACUAAAGGCAGGCAGCUACCUGGAAAGAAAAAGGAUUCUUCAUAGUGUAUUUAUAAAUGCUAAAUGGCCCGGGAAACUGCUGAGAGAUUUCUUAUGCUCAGAUCCUCAUUUUCUCUUGCGUGGUCAUCCCUGGGACAGCUCUGGAAAACAAGGCAGCCAUUUUCUCAUAAGCUGUUACACUCAGCAAACCAGAUUGAAGUGCUUGAUAAGCUGCUGUUCUCUUCCGUGCCUGCAGCGAUCCGAGGGGAAAAACAACCCAUCACCCACAAACAGGAAGGAUGGAGUUCAGCGGUGGAGCAAGGAGUCAGACAAGCACCAUAUGGCCAGAAGGGAGGGAAGACAAAAGCAAGGGCUGAACCAUCUCUCAGCAGCAGCAAGAGUUACACUGGCUCAGCUGUGUUGUCUAAUCAAGUAUUCUAAAUCAAUUAAGACUGAAGCCAAUUUGUACACAUGAAUCUUUGUAUUUGUAAAUGAACCUAAGUAUUUCACAGUAAUAUUCCAUACAGUUUAAUUCCUGUAGUACAUGGACUGGCUGAGCUCAUUAGCCAUGAAAACAUGCAGUUUUAUCAGGCAAGCUUUUGUCCAGCAACACAAAAAGUGAGCAGUGAAUGAAUGAACCCCUCCCUGCCCUGUAAUACAAUGGUCCCCAAUGCAGGAAUGUCGGUUAAGGUCAGAUAACAGUAAAGGUGCUCUCUGUUGUUUGGAACUGUCACCAGGUUCAAGCUCCAGCCUGCUGAGGCCUUUUUAUAACAUCAUCAUCAUCAUCAUGAGAGAGUUUAUUGACAUCAGUCAUCUGGUGGUAAGACCACCAGUGUUCCUAAAUAAUUCUCACACAUCUUCCCAAAAUAUUACAUUUCUCAAAGGUUUUAAAGAGAACAGAAACCCACUUUUUUUGCCUGGAGAGCAUUUCCCCAGGUUUUUAUUUGGGUGGUGAUGUUCAAGCAGAGGCAGGGUGGCUGCAGACACCCACUGAGGUAAUUCUCCACACGUGCCUGCCUCACCUCUCUCCACAAAUGGCUGAGUCACUUGUCAUUCAGUGGCCCAUGAUGGCAAAUUUUAGCCCAGUUCUAGGCAGACCAGAUCCGGCAAUGGUUUGCUUUAAAAAGGGUGCACAGCAAAGUAAAGCAUUUCAGCAGUGACUCAGUGUUGUGUAUUAAUAGCCAGCCUAAGCUUAUUUAAGGCCCUACUGUUGCCAUGUGUCAGGGGCAGGGGCUGGAUCAGACUGCUGAUCUGACUGAAAGCUCAUCUCGCAAAUAAAACCAUUCUUCAGCACUGCGUGGCAGCACGACGACAGAGCUGACAGCACCCAGGGAGCAGAAGCACGGGUCAAGAAGGGGAGGGAAGGCAGGAUGGGCCCUUCGGGAGCUGUUGCAUUUGAAUCAUCUCAGGUCAACUGUGAAGAGCUGGGAUUCCCUUGGCCCACAGGAGGAAACAGAGGCCGUGAAGCUGCUGAAGUUGCAAAGAAUUGGGCCCCACAUACAAGUCUUUAUACCCACCGUGCAAAGUGAGUGGAACAGAAAACAGUGUUUAGAAGCAUCUUGUAUACUUAUUCUGCAUGCACAUAAAUACCUGUGUGCAGAAAUGAAGAGAAUCAGCUCCCGGUAUAUGCUUUUGGUCAAACUGGAAAGCACAGCGAGGUGAGAAAUAGAAAGAGUUGCCAUAAUCUGAUUAGCUGUGUAAUCAAGACUAAACUGGGAGAUCAAUAAGGGAAACUAUAAGGAGGGUUUUUCCCAUUUUCUCUCCAGCAUACUGUGCUGAAAAUCUGGUGAAAAUCUAAUGGGAUAAAGUAACAGAUGGUAGGUAGACACCCAGGGGACAUGGAAUAUGUUUAAAGACAAUACUGGCUAACACUAUGAUUAAGAGUAUAUAAAAUAUCACAAGUCACUGAGUUGAACUAGCAUUUAAGUAGUAAGGCCAUAAACCCCUUAAUAUUCUAGGUUAGACUUACAUAGUUUUAUAGAUACAAGACAAAUAGGAAGAACACUUACAAAAAGGCUCUACAUUACACAAGUAUCUGGGCUAUUUAAGGGAAUGGCUCUUGACCGUGUCUUGAGAAACGUGGCAAACUCCAUGAAUUCAAUACAGGAUAAAAUAAAAAGGACAAGCAACUAAAUUAAUCAGCAGAGAUGUAACGAUAAAUAAUGGACUGAAUGUACUGAAAACUUGGGUUAUGUUUCUGGAAACAUAUGUUCUGGGAACAAAACAAGCCACCAGUGGAUCUGAGCAAACCAUUAUCAUCUGGGCAACCUGAAGCCUACCUGACAGUAUAUCAUUCUACCGGGUCUGUAAGGACUCUGGGGAAAAAAAAACUGUAUCAGUUCCCAUCCAUUUUCUCAAACACAAAUACAUCAAUAACUUCCAGCAAAAUCUUCCACGUAACCCACUGUUCUUCCAGUUAGUACACAUGCAGGAGUACAGAUUGCAGUCUGUAAGCUGAACACACAAGCAGGCCAGCUCAAAGUAGCCUCUCAUGCUCAGGCAACACUUUCAUUUUUUUCUUGGGUACGGUCCAGUUUCCUAUACCAGCCUAGUGAAAACUACGGUGGUCCCGUGUCUUCCAAAUAUUUGCCAACAAUUAAAUAAUAACUAUAAACAAUACAGUCCAGCUGUAGAACCGCUUAUGUCUCCAUAAAAUAAAUAAACAUUAUAUAUAUGUAAACUCCAGAAAUAUACAGAUAGAUGGAUACACACACACACACUGGAGUUUUAAAUGGAGUAGAUGUAAACAAAUGAUAUAAAAAAAUAUAAACCAAUGCUGCAUUAUUAUAAGCCAGUUAUUUAUGUAGAUUUAUUUUAAAAUAUGUCUGAUUGCAUUCAUAGCACUGAUGAAGAGAACAGUAAUGCACUAAACAUCAUUAAACACUUAAACUAAAAUUUCUCCUUGAUCACCCUUUCACAACCACUUUGUCUGGGGUGGCAAAGUGGAGUCAAGAAUAACCACAUGACCUGAAGGUCAGAAAAUUCUUACUCCAUUAUGAGAGCAAAGUGAAUAAUUUCCAAAAGCAGAGCCCUCUCCCAUGCACAACCCUGCUUCUGGCUCUCCCAUCUCCGACUGGCACUAAUUUAAAUUAGGGGAUUGGUAGCUUUAGCACUUCAGCUGUUAUCAAUUACCAUUAUAUCAUGCAAAGCACUCCCUAAAGUAAUGAGGAACCUAGCUGCUUAUGGAAAUAGUGUAAAAACUGCACCAGAAUGAAAUAGAAGCCAGUAUACAGCAGAGACACAACCAGCCCCUCUGUAAGAAAAAAAAAGAUUUAAAUGGGCAGCUGCAUUCUGCAUCAGCAGAAUUACAACCACUUCUGUGAAUGGUUUUAAGGUGCAUAUAGAGGUCACUGUCUUCUACAGAUUGGGUUACUGCAAAGCCAGUGGAUAGUAACUAUAGCAAGGAAGCAACAGAGUACUGGACUGCCUUAAAACAGCUGAGGAGAAACAGAAUAAGCCAGAAUGAAGCCGACUCUGAUGCAGCUUCAGAGCAGGCAUCGUCCUCUAAUUUACUCACAGCUAGCUCUUGAAAACUUUGCAGUGUUUUUACAACCAUAAAAUCCAAUAAAACAAGCCCCAAAACACACUAAUUUUUUUUAUUUUUUUUUAUUUUUUUUUAAUCCUAGUCCAGGAAAACGGUGAGAGGUAACGAGCUUGGGCCCAAUUAAUUACGAUACAAGGAACGGACAAGAAACACACACUUAGGAAGCCUAACUUGUAACAGCCAUCUUUCAUUGUUGUGCUUGUGUCUGUCCUUGGUAUAUACCCCCUAUUUUGCCCAGAUACAAAGUAUGUUAAGGAUGCUUAAACCAGUACUUGUCCUAUAGGGCAAUGCUUGCUCAACUAAGGAGCCAACUCAAGUCAUUCAGGGCUCACCUUGCACAUACCAAAAGGGCAGAUAUAGAUAGGCUUCCUGGCACCCUUCCAUCCUACAAUUUCCUACCGCUAUUAUACUGAUCAUUCAAAUCUAAUUUUAACAAGCAAGCAACCAUUGUUACAAGACAGAAGGAAAAGACUUUAAACACAUUUUCAUGCUUUUCAACAUCUGCAUAUUUGUCUUGCUUUUGUUUCUGGAAAGGAGCACGGAAGAGGAAAAUAAGGGAAGCACUUUCCCAGGUAGGGAGCUAAGAUGUCAGUGCUGUCACUUCUCAUUUCCUAAACAAGCCGAAUUUUUCCAAACAAUACAUGGGUAGCAGAAGGGUAUUAUUAAUUUAAGAACUAAUUCACUAAAUUUAGACUAAAAAGUCUAAAAACCAUGCUACACUAACAAAGCGAUUUUGAAAAACAUAUUCCCCUAAGAUCACAUAAAAAUAAUGGGUUUUGUUUCAAAAAUACGAAACAUUUUCCACAUGCUUUGGUAAAAUCGAGUCCUACACAGCCACAGUAUUUAUUUUUUUAAAUAACUAGCUAUACGCAUCUCUUCACAGCUAAGUCUGUGUGUAAAUGAAACGCCUCCACCAGUUCAGAAAGAAUCUAAAAAUUUCCUUCAUUGUAUACUAUCUCACAAGAAGACACCACUGACCAUGUUUCUAAGUGUUAGCAUAAGAGAUCAGAAAAAAACAGAAGAAUUUGAAUGUUCUUCUACCUAUUUUCAGAUGGCUUUCAAAAGCGAAGUCAAAACAGAAUAAUGAAGAGUUGAGUUCAUUAGUCGCACAGCAGAAGACAUCAUCCCAUAAAAUGUGCAUUGGUAGUGAAAAGUUGCAAGGGGUAAGAUAACCACUGAACAUGAUCGGUUCUGAAGAUUAUCAUAGAAAAAGGACAUAAACAUGGUUCCAAUAACCAAGGGUAAGACAACAUCCAUAGAAAAGUCAUCCUGAUAAGGAAGAAACAGCUCAGUUUGUUCUGAGUUAAAACACAAUCAAGUUAGCUAUGUGGCACAUCCUGCUGUUUAUAACACAUAAUUUUAACAGAAGAUUAAAGCCAUCUGCAGGUCUCCUAAACAAAACAAAUGCUAUACUGUGGUGCUAAAAUAUGUAAGGUGCUUCCAUUACCUAGAAUUCAUAUAUUAGAAGGCUAUUUUUACAUUGGAAUGGGAAAUAUCUAAUAGCAUUUAACACUCUAACAGGUACAGAAAAUAUAACACACUGCCUAGGUUUUACAGCCUGCAUAAAAUACACCGUUACACUGUUGACUGAAUGGCAGUAGUCAAAACAUGGGGGAUCAAGUCCUCUUAGACAUUACGGAACAUCCACAAGGUAUUUAAUUU